CCUGUUUGUGGAUCUCUGGAAGCAUCUGCAGCCAGCCACCCUCCCACCCGGGAGUCCGAGACCCGGCCACGCGCCCCCACGGAGACCCUGCCCAGAGGCCCCAGGAUGGCCCAGGAGCUGAGGCCAGCACAGUGUCUGCAGAGCAGCCGGGAGGAGGACGGACCAGACCUUACUGGUGCAGCUUUGGGCAGAGCCCUGCCCCAGGAAACCAGAGUCCUCCGGAGCAGAACAAGGCCCAGAUGGACCCCUAGGCGGAGUUUGGCUGUGGUUUGGGGAGCAGGCCCACCCA
rnacentral:lncRNA from 10 species